rnacentral:rRNA from 1 species
GACGAACGCUGGCGGCGUGCUUAACACAUGCAAGUCGAACGAGCGGCGGACGGGUGAGGAAUGUAUGGGGACUGCCCGAUAGAGGGGGAUAACUACUGGAAACGGUAGCUAAUACCGCAUACUAUCGGAUAACCCAUAUGGGAUGAGCUAGUUGGUGAGGUAAUGGCUCACCAAGGAGCCGAUCCCUAGCUGGUCUGAGAGGAUGAUCAGCCACACUGGGACUGAGACACGGCCCAGACUCCUACGGAGGCAGCAUUGGGGAAUAUUGCACAAUGGGCGCAAGCCUGAUGCAGCCCUGCCGCGUGUAUGAAGAAGGCCCUAGGGUUGUAAAGUACUUUCAGUCGGGAGGCGUUACCGACAGAAGAAGCACCGGCUAACUCCGUGCCAGCAGCCGCGGUAAUAC